CCCCUGAGACCCUACAAGGCAGGCUCCUAUGACUUCUUGGUGCCAUAGAGAUUCCAAACAGGUUCUUGGUUUCCUGCUGCACUUUGAUAUUCUAAGCUCUAUGUACUCUCUGGGCCCAGUAGAGGAAUCAUGCAACUCAGCAAGCCCUUUCUUCUACCUUCCUUAACUGGGAAGUCCAGUUGACCACUAAGAUCUUGCAGUGGACUUGCUCAUUCCUGUUGUCAAAAAGGAUGUCCAAAAAGGAGGCCAAGAAUCCUCUUCUGAGACUGAGAGAUUAAGACAAGAGGAAAACUGCCACACAGAUACCACGAAGGACACUGUUACCAGAGAGCCAUUUUUCCAGAAUCCAGCAAUACCUGAACACGUCCUUUGGACCUUACAAGCCACCAGGUCAAGUGUGCAGAGCAGUUCUCUUGAGAAGCCCACACCCAUGCCUCUCUCAACGGAUUUGGUGCUGCAACUGGUCCCUAAGGAGGAAUGGAACAUCUCCCACAAACUGGUGGCUGUUUUGGGCUGAAGCUUCCCACACCAGCACUGAUACCUCAUGUACUACAGAGAAUCACAUCCACGGUAAGAAAAACAUCAUCUUCCUCUACUCUUCCAAAAGCCAGACUCCUAUGACAAACUACAGACAAACAAGGGGACCAUGCAAAUGUAUCUGAUGCAAAUUUUACACAUCAGUCUUUACAAUGUACUGAAGGCCUGCAUCAAUAAACCUAAAUUUCUCUUGUUGA